CCAAGGGUUGGGCUGUUCGCCCAUUAAAGUGGCACGCGAGCUGGGUUCAGAACGUCGCGAGACAGUUCGGUCUCUAUCUACUGCGGGCGUUAGAAAUUUGAGGGGGGCUGACUUUAGUACGAGAGGACCGAGUUGGACACACCUCUAGUGUACCUGUUGUGGCGCCAGCUGCAUCGCAGGGUAGCUAUGUGUGGAAAAGAUAAGCGCUGAAAGCAUAUAAGCGCGAAACUUGCCUCAAGAUGAGAUUUCUUUUAAGGGUUGUUCGAGAUGAGGACGUUGAUAGGAUACAGGUGUAAAGGCAGUAAUGU
rnacentral:rRNA from 11 species